CCUUCAGUUAUUUAAUGCUGCUUUCAGGAUUCAUAACAGUCUCCUAUUCGAGACCCUCCUGCUGCCUUUGCAAAAGGAAACGCCAGAGAGAUAACCUAAGAACCGGCCCUACAAACUGAAAAUCCUCUGGGAUGCUGUGUUUUGUUGCCCCAUCGUCUGUAUCGUUGCAUGAGGUAACAGAGGCAAAAGAAAACAGCCAUCUCCUUGGUCCACCGACAGACACGAGGUUGUACCAGCACAAAACCUCAACGGACGGGCCCUUUUCAUGUCAUUUACUAAGGACCUGAGUGGAUAAUCAAAGAAAUGCGAACCAUAACUGCCCUCGUCACAGUUCACAGGAACCCUUUUUUUUUUUUUUUUUUAAGUUUACUUAUUUGAGAGAGAGAGAGAGCACAAGUAGGGUAGGGGCAGAGAGAGAAGGGGGAGAGAGAAUCCCAAGCAAGCUCCGUGCUGCCAGCGAGGAGCCCAAGAACUACUUAUUCAAUGUCUCUCAACCCUGUGGUCUUUGAGCUCUGUGAGGAGAGGGCUGGGGCCAUGGCUGUAUCAUGUCUCACGUGACGGCAUUAACAUAAGGCAGUCUAGAAAAACAUAUUAAGUGAAAGAUAUAACUUUUAACAGGGUGCCUGUGUGGCUCAGUCAGUUAAGUGUCUGACUUCAGCUCAGGUCGUGAUUUCACUGUUCAUGAGUUCAAGCCCCAAAUACAACUCUCUGCUGUCAGCACAAAGCCCGCUUCGGAUCCUCUGUCCCCCUCUCUCUCUGCCCCUCCCCUGCUGGUUCUGUCUUUCAAAGUAAAUAAAUAAACUUUUAAAAAAUUUA